GAUGAACGCUGGCGGCGUGCCUAAUACAUGCAAGUCGAGCGAACGGACGAGAAGCUUGCUUCUCUGAUGUUAGCGGCGGACGGGUGAGUAACACGUGGAUAACCUACCUAUAAGACUGGGAUAACUUCGGGAAACCGUAGCUAAUACCGGAUAAUAUUUUGAACCGCAUGGUUCAAAAGUGAAAGACGGUCUUGCUGUCACUUAUAGAUGGAUCCGCGCUGCAUUAGCUAGUUGGUAAGUUAACGGCUUACCAAGGCAACGAUGCAUAGCCGACCUGAGAGGGUGGUCGGCCACACUGGAACUGAGACACGGUCCAGACUCCUACGGGAGGCAGCAGUAGGGAAUCUUCCGCAAUGGGCGAAAGCCUGACGGAGCAACGCCGCGUGAGUGAUGAAGGUCUUCGGAUCGUAAAACUCUGUUAUUAGGGAAGAACAUAUGUGUAAGUAACUGUGCACAUCUUGACGGUACCUAAUCAGAAAGCCACGGCUAACUACGUG
rnacentral:rRNA from 1 species